rnacentral:rRNA from 1 species
GGGGAAUCUUGGACAAUGGGCGCAAGCCUGAUCCAGCAAUGCCGCGUGGGUGAAGAAGGCCUUCGGGUUGUAAAGCCCUUUUGUUUGGGAGCAAAUCCUUGGUGUUAAUACCGCCUGGGGAUGAGAGUACCAAAAGAAUCAGCACCGGCUAACUACGUGCCAGCAGCCGCGGUAAUACGUAGGGUGCAAGCGUUAAUCGGAAUUACUGGGCGUAAAGCGUGCGCAGGUGGUUUUGUAAGACCGACGUGAAAGCCCCGGGCUCAACCUGGGAACUGCGUUGGUGACUGCAAGACUAGAGUGUGGCAGAGGGGGGUGGAAUUCCGCGUGUAGCGGUGAAAUGCGUAGAGAUGCGGAGGAACACCGAUGGCGAAGGCAGCCCCCUGGGCUAACACUGACACUCAUGCACGAAAGCGUGGGGAGCAAAC